AGUGAAUAGAUACCCCGGUAGUCCUGGCCGUAAACCAUGAGUACUAGUGGGGAGGAUCGCAAGGUCUUCCUCACGGAGCGAAAAGUUUUAAAGUACUCCGCCUGGGGAGUAUGGUCGCAAGGUUGAAACUCAAAGGAAUUGACGGGGGUCUCACACAAGCGGUGGAGCAUGUGGCUUAAAUUCGAGGCAACGCGAAGAACCUUAUCCUAGAUUUGACAUGCAUGGAUUAACCCCUAUGAAACGUAGGGCCACGCUCGCAAGAGUGGAACCAUGCACAGGUGCUGCAUGGCUGUCGUCAGCUCGUGCCGUGAGGUGUUAGGUUAAGUCCUUUAACCGAGCGAAACCCCCGUUUUCACUAGUUGCCAGCGCGUCAUGGCGGGGU
rnacentral:rRNA from 1 species